rnacentral:tRNA from 1 species
GGGGAUGUAGCUCAGUUGGUAGAGUGUUUUCCCCGAAUGCACAAGGGCCUGGGUUCAGUCCCCAGCACCACCA